AGGCCUUUGGGCUGUAAACCUCUUUUCUCAAGGAAGAAGAUCUGACGGUACUUGAGGAAUAAGCCACGGCUAAUUCCGUGCCAGCAGCCGCGGUAAUACGGGAGUGGCAAGCGUUAUCCGGAAUUAUUGGGCGUAAAGCGUCCGCAGGCGGCCGUUUAAGUCUGUUGUUAAAUCGUGGAGCUCAACUCCAUCACGGCAUGGAAACUGUUCGGCUUGAGUAUGGUAGGGGCAGAGGGAAUUUCCGGUGUAGCGGUGAAAUGCGUAGAUAUCGGGAAGAACACCAGUGGCGAAAGCGCUCUGCUGGGCCAUUACUGACGCUCAUGGACGAAAGCCAGGGGAGCGAAAGGGAUUAGAUACCCCUGUAGUCCUGGCCGUAAACGAUGAACACUAGAUGUUGGGGGAAUCGACCCCCUCGGUGUCGUAGCUAACGCGUUAAGUGUUCCGCCUGGGGAGUACGCACGCAAGUGUGAAACUCAAAGGAAUUGACGGGGGCCCGCACAAGCGGUGGAGUAUGUGGUUUAAUUCGAUGCAACGCGAAGAACCUUACCAAGGCUUGACAUCCUGCGAAUCUCCGAGAAAUUGGAGAGUGCCUUCGGGAACGCAGUGACAGGUGGUGCAUGGCUGUCGUCAGCUCGUGUCGUGAGAUGUUGGGUUAAGUCCCGCAACGAGCGCAACCCACGUUUUUAGUUGCCAGCAUUCAGUUGGGCACUCUAGAAAGACUGCCGGUGACAAACCGGAGGAAGGUGUGGACGACGUCAAGUCAUCAUGCCCCUUACGCCUUGGGCUACACACGUACUACAAUGCUGCGGACAAAGAGUAGCGAUCUUGCAAAAGUUAGCUAAUCUCGUAAACCGUGGCUCAGUUCAGAUCGUAGGCUGCAACUCGCCUACGUGAAGGAGGAAUCGCUAGUAAUCGCAGGUCAGCAUACUGCGGUGAAUACGUUCCCGGGC
rnacentral:rRNA from 1 species